UUGUCCUACGGGACGCAGCAGUGGGGAAUAUUGGGCAAUGGAGGCAACUCUGACCCAGCAACGCCGCGUGAAUGAUGAAGGUCUUCGGAUUGUAAAGUUCUUUUCUAAGGGAAGAAGAAAGUGACGGUACCUUAGGAAUAAGCCUCGGCUAACUACGUGCCAGCAGCCGCGGUAAUACGUAGGAGGCAAGCGUUAUCCGGAAUGACUGGGCGUAAAGGGUGCGUAGGUGGUUCAGCAAGUUAGUAGCGUAACUCCGGGGCUCAACCUCGGCACUACUACUAAAACUGUUGGACUUGAGUGCAGGA
rnacentral:rRNA from 1 species